AUUAGCAGUACACAAAGCUGGAUGAAACGAAGUCAGACAGCUGAACUGUUCUUCUAUUACAUUAAGAUUUUUUGACUUACAUUUUUCAGCAAGCAUGACACACCAUAUCGAGCUUCUUCAAAAACUUUUAUCAGCCAUAACCAAAGCUGUGAGCAUUAUCCUGCUCAUAGUCACUUUCUUCAUUCUUCAGUACUUACUGGAUAUGGAUUAUGUUUGUUCCUGCGAUCCAGAUUCACAUAUGACUGGUAUUGCAGUCUUCAUGGCUCUCCCACCUUUCAUCCUCAGUUGUUUAGUCACCUUAAUUGAGUCUUGCUACAAAAAGACAAUUUAUUAUCAUGGUUUUUGGAAUUUCAUACAGUUUUCUAUCUUUUUUGUGGGCAAAUAUAUGUUUCUGACUUGCAUUUGGGGAGGCACUGUUAUGCUUGAGGGUGACUGGUACAUCUGUCUAAAAACAAACAUUGAUAGAAACCACACAGGAAUUGCUUGUAAGGAGAAUCUGACAAAUGAGGAAAAGCACACCAAAGCUAAAUAUAAGAAUGCGUCAAUGAACAUUGCCUUUUAUGUUUUGACUCUGCUUUUCGCAAUUUGGAAUAUCUACGAAUUGUGUAAACCCUUUUGUAUGAGAAUCUUCAACAAGAACAAGUUCACAGGGUUGCCCUCCUACUACCGAUGGAUGUAUGAAGAACUUCUUUCAGAGGAGGUGAGCAACCACUUGAAAGAAGAGUUAAAAAAUAUAGCAGAAGAAAAAGCAAAGAAACUCUGUGAAGGAUACUUGAAUGAUAUUCGAAAAGCUGAGCUGCAGAGACAACCAGAAAAUCACGAUAGCAACAAUUCCAAUAAUUCUAACAGUAAUGAUGAACGUAAUCCCAAGGACAGUGGAAGUGAAGCCGUCAGUACCGACACCCUCAUGUCCAAUUCUGACAGCAAUGCUGACCAAAAUUCAUCUGUCACAGCUGCCUGGCAUAAAAUUUCUGAACCACAUUUCUACCUGAACGAUUGCGCUCAGGUGGGGCAGAGCUAAAAACAAUGUUACUGUGACAAAAAUAAGCUUUACAGAGACUGUUGUUGGUUCUUGCAUUAGUUUCCAUUUAAUUUCAAAUAUUUUUUUAAACUUUAAUGCUUGUUUCAAAGUCGCUGCACGCUCUGUUCAGUAUGCCCUCGAUACACUGUUCUAAUACUGGUGAACCUUCUUUUACCUCCAAGGUGCUGAAGCCAUGUAAUAAAUUACAUUAUAUGGUGCUUUAACAUUAUCAACAUUAUCAAAAUUUUAAACCAAAGACAUUCCUAUUUAUCCGUGCCAUUCAGUCACUAUGUUUGUUU
ensembl:lncRNA